AACGAACGCUGGCGGCAGGCCUAACACAUGCAAGUCGAGCGAGGACUUCGGUCCUAGCGGCGGACGGGUGAGUAACGCGUGGGAACGUGCCCUUUGCUUCGGAAUAGCCCUGGGAAACUGGGAGUAAUACCGGAUGAGCCCUUUGGGGGAAAGAUUUAUCGGCGAAGGAUCGGCCCGCGUUGGAUUAGAUAGUUGGUGGGGUAAUGGCCUACCAAGCCGACGAUCCAUAGCUGGUUUGAGAGGAUGAUCAGCCACACUGGGACUGAGACACGGCCCAGACUCCUACGGGAGGCAGCAGUGGGGAAUCUUAGACAAUGGGGGAAACCCUGAUCUAGCCAUGCCGCGUGAGCGAUGAAGGCCUUAGGGUUGUAAAGCUCUUUCAGCUGGGAAGAUAAUGACGGUACCAGCAGAAGAAGCCCCGGCUAACUCCGUG
rnacentral:rRNA from 1 species